rnacentral:rRNA from 1 species
GAGUUUGAUCGUGGCUCAGGACGAACGCUGGCUGCGUGCUUAACACAUGCAAGUCGAACGCUGAAGCCUGGUGCUUGCACCGGGUGGAUGAGUGGCGAACGGGUGAGUAACACGUGAGUAACCUGCCCCCGACUUCGGGAUAAGCCCGGGAAACUGGGUCUAAUACCGGAUACGACCGUCGGACGCAUGUCUGGUGGUGGAAAGUUUUUUCGGUUGGGGAUGGGCUCGCGGCCUAUCAGUUUGUUGGUGAGGUAAUGGCUCACCAAGACGACGACGGGUAGCCGGCCUGAGAGGGCGACCGGCCACACUGGGACUGAGACACGGCCCAGACUCCUACGGGGGGCAGCAGUGGGGAAUAUUGCACAAUGGGGGAGACCCUGAUGCAGCGACGCAGCGUGCGGGAUGACGGCCUCGG